UAGGACAUGUGUGCAUGGAUGCGAUUCC
rnacentral:piRNA from 1 species